AGAAGGCACUGGGCAUGGAGAAGGUGCUGGAUGUGGCGAAGGGACCGUUCUGCCCUUUCUUUUCUCUCUCUUCUCUCAACAUAUCACACUGGCUGUGUUUUGGGUUGAAAGAUAGAAACUGAAGACUGUGUGCAUGUUUUCCUUCUGAUGCCAUUCAUGGUGCUGAUGACAGGGUAGCAAGAAAGUAGAGUCUACCCACAAGGAACUUGCGCUCCAGUGUGGAAAUAUGGAUUCGCCUCAGUGGAUGAGUGAACACAGUUCAGGUGAUCCUCUUACCCCAGCUUCUUUAGAUAAGGAUUAUCGGCAUGAAUCACCAUACCUGGUAGAGAUUGAGACUUUAAAUGAUUUCAAACUGAUUUGUCAGAAGACAGAUUGUGAAAUUCUGGCAGAAAAUUGGCUGCACAGCAAGCUGGUAGGCAGCAUUCUUUCAUGGUCUCUGCUUCAGAUCUUGCCUUUGGGUCCCUGCCUUGAUUUCCUGUGAUGAUGGACUUACAAAGCAUAAUGUGAAGUGCUGUCCCUACCCUGCCCUUCCUUAGAGUUGGCUGAUUGCUCUGGCCUAUGGUGGAACCAGGUUUACCAGGAAGACCAUGGCUGAGUGGACUCCCUUGUGCGCAGUGGGGGCCUGAGCUAUUGACUAGGUAAUAAGUACAAUGGACCCACCAAGCCAUAGCUGAAGCACUCAACUCCUGUGCUCAAAGGAGGCCUCCCAAAGCUCAGAGCGUGCUCCAGGCUUCCCUCAAGAGAAACCCAAGGAGAAAAGUUCACAGAACAUGGGAGAAGACCAUCAGAAGAAAGGAUUAGGAUGUCCCAGAGAGAGAACAUUUACACCAAGAAGAUCAGCUGAAAACAUGCUUCAGCAGAGGUGUACUGAAAAUUCUCAGAAUAAAAGAAAGAGACAGAAUCCAUUUGAAAGUAGAUGGUGCGAUAUGAAAGGCCAACCGGAAAACAAUUACUUCUGGUAGAAAAAGAAUCAUUGCAUCAGAUGUGGGGGAGUAGUUACAGGCACACUGUACAACAGAAAAGACUAGAAAAUGGAAAAAAAAACAUUUGUGAUGGUUAAUCUCAGGUGUCUUGAUCGCAUCUAGAAUAAACUAAAAUCUAAGCUGCGGGGCAGACCUGAGAGGGGUUUUCUUAUUCAGAGAAUUUGUAGCAAGACCAAUGCUAAGUCUGGACCACACCUUCUGGUGGCAGUCAAGAUGAAAGGACACGGAAGAAGGAAAUAUCUUUGUCCCUGCUGACCCUCACUCUUACUGGAAAGUUCAACUAGCCCCGUGUUGCAGAAUUUAUUCAUGGGUAUUAGAACCGACUUCUUUGGGAUGCUAAUGUACCCUGAAGAACAGCAGCUCUCCAAGAACCCUCAGAACUCAGCACUAGACUGGGAUUGAACACCUCUCAGAUUCUUUUUAAAAAAAUAUUUAUUUAA